CAAUUCCCAGGUUGGAAAAACUUAAGCUAAUGCUAGCUCAAGAGACUCUGCAACUCAUGAGAGCGAAAGAAUUGUAUUUAAAUCGCAAAAGAGCUGAAAUUCAGGGAAAGAUGGAAGAUCUUCCAGAACAAGAAAAAAAUAUAAAUGUUGUAGAUGAAUUAGAAAUGCAAUUUUAUGAAAUUCAGUUAGAACUAUAUGAAGUUAAAUUUGAGAUAUUAAAAAACGAAGAAAUACUGCUUACUACACAGUUGGACUCUCUUAAAAGACUUAUAAAAAGUAAAGUUUAUAUUUAAGUAUAUAGAUUACAAUGUUUAUAAAUUUAAGGAAAUACAGACCAUAUUAUCAAUUACUUUUUGUAAACUGUAACAUCUGAAAAUUUCCUAAAGUUUUCCUUCAGUAGUUUAUUAUUCAAAUAAUAUAUUCAUUGUUAGCACAUAGC
ensembl:lncRNA novel transcript